CUUCUGCCGGUGGUACUCUUAUGACAAUGUUUAUAGUAUGCUGCUGUAUGGUGCGUCUAUGAUUGGAAGCAAGCUCGAGACCGAUUCAAUAACUACCAUGCCCCCAUAUGUCUGCUGUGCUGUAAUGUGCGUGCUGCUUGGUAUAUAUAUGGUGUGCUUUAUAUUGCAACUCUUGGUCUGGAAGCACUUGGUUUCGCUUUCUACGCAACAAUUCUUUUCAGGAAACGUUAGGUGCCGGCCAAGGCCGACAAAAUGUGGGCUGUGGCACCAGAAAUCCAGAAAGAUCUAGAUGACCUAAUCAAGCUUUGCAGGUUGUUGAUGUGCAGGCUUUGUUUGUCUCACUCGAUCAGCUGUUUGCUGGGAAUAAAUGCAUAAGUAUGCUGUAUGCGUUAGAUUCCGGCUGGUGUUGUUUAAGGGCCACUGGUCAAGGCAUUAGCUGAACCUGGGCAGGUUCUGUACGUGCUAUAGUUUAUGGACAUUUUAUGCUGGUAGAUGGAUACUGGUACAGAUAAUUGUAUCCUGGACUGUGACCCCAAGCUAAGAAAGGUUGUGACUUGCACACUGGAUUUGGUGCCUGGUUUUGCUUUUCUAGGUUGGCACUGAGGUCUACAGCCACAAACAAAGUCGAAUAUUUGGAUUUUUACGACCAAAAACAAAGUCUUAUUCACUUGUACCAGCUGUUAACAUAUCCUUUUCACUUUACAUGCCUACUGAUGU
rnacentral:lncRNA from 1 species